rnacentral:rRNA from 1 species
UACGUAGGUGGCAAGCGUUGUCCGGAAUUACUGGGCGUAAAGCGUGCGCAGGCGGUUUUGUAAGUCUGACGUGAAAUCCCCGGGCUCAACCUGGGAAUUGCGUUGGAGACUGCAAGGCUGGAGUCUGGCAGAGGGGGGUAGAAUUCCACGUGUAGCAGUGAAAUGCGUAGAGAUGUGGAGGAACACCGAUGGCGAAGGCAGCUUACUACACAAUGAUUGACGCUGAGGCACGAAAGCGUGGGGAUCAAACAGG